CGGGGUGAGUAACGCGUGAGGAACCUGCCUCAGAGAGGGGGAUAACACACCGAAAGGUGUGCUAAUACCGCAUAACAUAUGAGAGGGGCAUCCCUUUCAUAUCAAAGAUUUAUUGCUCUGAGAUGGCCUCGCGUCCAAUUAGCUAGUUGGUGAGGUAACGGCCCACCAAGGCGACGAUUGGUAGCCGGACUGAGAGGUUGAACGGCCACAUUGGGACUGAGACACGGACCAGACUCCUACGGAAGGCAGCAG
rnacentral:rRNA from 1 species